AACGGUGCAGGAAGUAUGAACCCAAAAUGGAAUGAGAAAGCCCAUAACCUGAGCGCGCCUCUGAACCAAAUAGCAGAAGCGGAUAACGGCAGGUUUUCUCCUUCUCUCCCUUUCCUCGGUCUAUCACUCUCCGUCACUUUCUCACUCUCACCACUCUCUUCCUCUGAGAAGCAACACCUGCACUUCAAAACCCAUACUAAUAAUAGUAGUAAUAAGACGAUGCUAGCAUGUCCUAGCAGCUCCCUCCAUGGCCUCGCCACGCUGCAACGCCAUUCCCAACCAUCUCAUUUUCUCCUCUCCAAUUCUCUCUUCUUCCCUCCCUCCCAUCGCCUCGCCGCUUCCCGCAAAUGCAACUUCCGCUCGCUUCAUUGCGGCAGGAGUAGCUGUCGCUACGCCUUUAGAGCAUCCGCGGACUCGCCGGAGGUGUCGGAGUCCGUCGUUGGCGACAGUGGCGUACUACAACCGUAUUCCGUGAAGAUUCCCGUUGGUGAUAGACAUAUUUUGGUUGAGACUGGUCAUAUAGGAAGACAGGCAAGUGGCUCUGUUACAGUUACAGAUGGAGAGACUAUCGUGUACACAACUGUUUGCUUGGACGAUGUUCCUAGUGAACCAUCUGACUUUUUCCCCCUUUCUGUUCAUUAUCAAGAGCGAUUUUCAGCAGCUGGUCGUACUAGUGGAGGGUUUUUUAAGCGAGAAGGAAAGACGAGAGACCAUGAGGUUCUUAUUUGUAGAUUAAUUGAUAGGCCUCUACGUCCUACCAUGCCAAAGGGAUUCUAUCAUGAAACUCAAAUAUUGUCUUGGGUUUUGAGCUAUGACGGACUGCACUCCCCUGAUUCUUUGGCUGUCACUGCAGCUGGUAUAGCAGUUGCACUUUCAGAAGUGCCAAUGUCAAAAGCAAUUGCUGGGGUUCGUGUUGGUCUUGUUGGUGAUAAGUAUAUAGUAAAUCCUACUACUAAGGAGAUGGAACACUCUGAAUUGGACCUCUUGCUAGCUGGCACAGAUAGUGCAAUACUGAUGAUAGAGGGAUAUAGCAAUUUUAUUCCAGAAGAAAAGUUACUCAGGGCUGUCGAAGUUGGUCAGGAUGCAGUACGAGCAAUCUGUAAUGAAGUAGAAGCUUUGGUUAAGAAGUGUGGGAAGCCAAAGAUGUUGGAUGCCAUCAAGUUACCUCCUCCUGAACUUUAUGAACAUGUUGAAGAAAUUGCAGGUGACGAGAUAGUAAAAGUUCUUCAGAUUAGAAACAAAAUACCCAGAAGAAAAGCCCUUUCAUCAUUAGAAGAAAAGGUUCUGAAUAUACUCACAGAAAACGGGUUUGUCACAAAUGACUUAAAACUGAGGAGUAGUUCUGAGACCAUUGCAGAAGUUCUUGAGGAUGAGGAUGAAGAUGAGGAAGUAAUUGUUGAUGGUGAAGUUGAUGAAGGUGAUGUUCAUAUAAAACCUACUUCACACAAACCGGCACUUUUAUUUUCUGAGGUAGAUGUCAAGUUGGUAUUUAAGGAAGUGACAUCCAAAUUUUGGAGGAAGCGCAUAGUAGAGGGAGGAAAGAGGAGUGAUGGGCGAACACCUGAUGAAAUACGUCCAAUCAACUCUAGAUGUGGCCUAUUACCUAGAGCACAUGGAAGUGCUCUUUUUACAAGAGGCGAAACACAGUCACUAGCCGUUGUUACACUUGGGGAUAAACAAAUGGCACAAAGAAUAGAUGGACUUGAUGGUGAUGAUGAAUUAAAGAGGUUCUAUUUACAGUAUUCAUUUCCUCCUUCAAGUGUUGGGGAAGUUGGCCGGAUUGGUGCCCCAAGCAGAAGAGAAAUUGGUCAUGGGAUGCUUGCUGAGAGAUCCCUUGAACGAAUUUUACCUUCUGAAAAUGAUUUCCCUUACACUAUACGUGUUGAGAGUACUAUCACAGAAAGCAAUGGCUCUUCAAGCAUGGCUUCUGUUUGUGGAGGUUGCUUAGCAUUGCAAGAUGCUGGGGUUCCUAUCAAGUGUUCCAUUGCUGGAAUUGCAAUGGGUUUGGUAUUGGACACCAAGGAAUUUGGUGGAGAUGGAACUCCGCUUAUUCUUUCUGACAUAGUUGGAUCUGAAGAUGCAUCUGGAGAUAUGGAUUUCAAGGUUGCUGGAAAUGAAGAUGGCAUAACAGCAUUUCAAAUGGACAUUAAGGUGGGUGGAAUCACUUUACCCAUAAUGAGAAAUGCCCUCCAACAAGCAAGAGAUGGCAGGAAGCAUAUACUUGAAGCAAUGACAAGUUGCUCACCUCCUCCGGCAAAUAGACUUUCCAAAUAUGCUCCUCUGAUACACAUUAUGAAGGUAAAACCGGAUAGAGUAAAUCUUAUAAUUGGUUCUGGUGGGAAAAAAAUCAAGAGCAUUAUUGAGGAAUCUGGAGUAGAAGCUAUUGAUGCAGACGAUAAUGGCACUGUGAAAAUAUUUGCAAAAGAUUUGCCUAGUUUAGAGAGGUCUAAAGCUAUUAUUAGUAGUUUGGCGAUGGUUCCAACUAUCGGUGAUAUAUAUAGGAACUGUGAAAUCAAAUCAAUAGCUUCAUAUGGAGUUUUUGUAGAGAUAGCACCUGGCCGAGAGGGACUUUGUCAUAUCAGUGAACUGAGCUCAGGUUGGCUACCAAAGGCAGAGGAUGUGUUCAAGGUGGGAGAUCGCAUUGAUGUAAAGCUUAUAGAGAUCAAUGAAAAGGGCCAACUGCGCCUGAGUCUCCGAGCACUGCUUCCUGAUACGAAUCCAGAUAACUCAAAUGUUAAACAGUCUACUGGUGAACUAGCUGACGGGACGGAAACUUCAUCAAAAUCAUCCGAAAAGUCUAAGGACAACUCUAGCACUUCCAAAAUCACAUCCUCUUCUAAAAGGAGUUCAGAGGAUGAUUCAGUGCUUCCGUCUAAGAAGUUUGUCAGGAGAUUGGUCAACUCUUCCCAGGAUAACAAAGAGAAAACAAAGAAGAGUAGCAACAAAGCAGUUGGUAGUGUGUCUGUCAAAGAUGAAAGCAGUUUGAUUAGUGGAGAGGCGUGAAACUGAGCCAAUAUAUUUUCAAGUAAAGCAGAGACAAGUGAUGCUUUCUAGGAAAAAAAAUGGUUUCAUAUGCACACGAAGGCUGAAAUUGCAAGCUCUUAAAAACUAACAGUUGAAUGUGAACUUUUUUGGAACAAGCCGGUGCCUAAACUAGGAAAUCACAUGACUUGCUUCAUUCUAAGGCAGAUAAUCCUGCUUAAGCUGGGAAGGUGAAAAGGAGUACUCUGUGUUGUCUGUACAUCUCACAAAUGCAUCAUGGCAAUUUUUGUGUUUUAGCCCCCGACGACAUCUCUAUCUAUGACCUGUUGUGUAGUUUUCUUUGUUUUUCAAUUAUUUUCUGUGAUGACUCCCUCUUGUGAGCUCCUAUUUUGCAGGUAUCAAAUGUAAAUCUUAGUUCAUCGUUGCAAGGGAGAGGGGUGAAUCUUUACACUGCAUUGUAUUUAUUGUAUUCUUUUACGUUAGCAAUUAAAAUUAUGAUAUUUUCGAUA